GAGGGGGAAAAAUGAAUUUAAUCCAUUGUGGAGUAAGGCUGUAACAUAAAAUGUGGGGAAAAGUGAAGCGCUAUGGUUACUUUCUGGAUACACUGUACACAGCUGCCAAAAUAAUUAAAAUUAUGUUGAAGUCUAUAUUGGAGAUACUGUUUUGUAAAGUAUUCUGUCAGGAAUAUAUUGGUUUAAAGUGCCUUUUAAAAUGGGAUACAAACUGCUUAUAAAUGGCUUCAAAUCAAAGUUAAAACUGGCUUAAAUGCAAAUGAGCAGGAUUUUGAAAACCACCAAUUUUGACUGGUAUUAAUACAUAAUAUUAAUUUUUUUUUUUUAAGGGUUGUUUGGGGAAAAUUUACAAGUAUUGUCAGUUUCUAUCUAGUUUGACAUUUUAACACUGGUUUUCUAUCUAAAGUCAGCUGCUAGUCAUACAAUUUUGAAUGUUUGAAAUGUCCAAAAACCAACUGGUUUAAAAUAGUUUUAAUCUGUCUAAAGUUGAAAUAAGAUUUUUAAUUCCUUUUCAAACCAUAUAGUGGCUGUUUUUUGAGCACUGGGGAACCAGGUUUAAAAUGGCUACAUUUGGGGUGGGGAAACCAGUUUGGCCUGUUUAAAAUAAAUGGAUAUUUUUGGUUUUCAAGCAAAUAAUGUGAAGAUAAAUUUGCUGUUUGAGAAACUAAUGGGCUUAAAAAAAACUUUCUGGUAAUUUUCAGGCACAACAAAUUGAUUAAUUCCUCUCCACGUUGGGUUUUGAUUGAAGGUCUACAACAUUUUGUUGACUUUAUUUUCACACCUCCUUUUAAUUUUUACACCUCAGCUUGCAGCUGUAGGUGGAGAUCAUGUCGAGGUUCAAUCUGUGCUUUCAAAAACUGACUUGUGUUGUGGGAGACCUAAUCUGGGAUCCAUGCUGUCACUCUCUGGACUACAGAUCUGCUGCGAGUGAAGCGGUUUUUGAAAUAGUUUGCUGUUGUAUCAUUUCAUUAAUGCAUCCGUGUCGAUGCAGGCUAGAUGUGAAUAACAGCGGCCUUCAUCAUUUCAUCUGGUGUUGGUGUGAAUGGACGUAGCUGACAUGAAUAUAUUAAGGUUCAUUUGGACUUUUAUGGUUUCUUACUCUGUUGCUGUUCUUGGCUUUAUCACUGGAGAGUUAAGGUGGGCUGACGUGCGCCGUUUGCACAAUGGCAACAAAAAUGUGUUGCCGAUUAAAAUGGGCCCAAAAAAAGACUGAUUUCUGCCACUUUUAUGACAUUUCAUACAGUGAAUGAAAAGUGUUUGUUUUGAUGUGGGUCAUAGUCCCGACUAGUCACUACAUUUCAGUCAUCGUAGACAAUGUUCCUUUGGGAAUCACAUCCAUUUCCUCUUGUCUUCAUUUCACGGCAGUCAUACACCUUUUCAAACUAAUAUGGGUCACCAUGUGUCUUAAAAUCGUGUCAAAAUUUGUAGCCAACACGUCCAGUAAACACUGAGGUGAUGCAUCAAAAUAAAUGUAAUUUCUCACAUCUCCACGAAGCAGCAGAUUUCUGUUUUGUAGCGAUGGAUGUGCAAGUCCAGCUAACUGUCGUUUUAUUGUUUCAUAACUUUUCUUAUAAGGGUGCAGAGGGUUUCGGCCUGUUCUGUCCACACGUGCUGCUCCGUCUAUUUUAGAAAGUCAUGACUCUUUCUGUGCAUCCUGUGACUUACAAUUGCAGGUACUUUCCAUUGCAGUUUUGGGAAAUACUUUUUUUUUUUUAAUCACCAGAGAAUCCAUUUCAUGAUUCAUUACAGUAUGUUUGCGUAGGCUAUAUCAAUAUUGGGAGUAAAAAAUUUACUACGCUGAUGUUUACGUAAAAAAUGGCAAUGAUUCCUCACAUUUUGAUAUUGAACACUUAUGACAAAGACAUAAUUGACGGUUGAUGUUUUACAGUUUAAACAUAAAUAUAACCAAAUAAUGUAUGUAUGCUGCCUUCAGUUAGAGUGGCAGUUGCUGUGUUGCAUCACUCAACAUUUGCAUAAAGUAGACUCCUAGUCUAUUUUGGCCCCACUUAGCUGGCAGCAUAGUAGCUACUUGUAUCACUGACUGAAAAUGAGUGGCAUCUGGUUACUUUGCCUUUGUUUCUUGUUAGCUAAUGUGACCAAGGGGCGAUAAGGGUCCCAGCCAUGUUUGAUGGCAUUGUAAACAAUAGCUUAUGUAACAAACUCUGUAAUGACACAUUUUCCAACAGCCAGUAUUUUUUCUCAUUGUUUAUUUAGUAAAAUAAAUGUUUUCAUCCCAGCAAAAAAAUAACGCAUAUCCCAGUAUGUUCAUGAAAAGCUCACACAUGUCGGUUGGUCUCUAGUUUUUUUUAUUAUGCGCCUUUUCAAUUCACAUUUUUCCAUUGCGUAAUUGAAAGCUAAUGAAAACCUGCGUAGCAGUGGUGUUGGUGAGGGUGUUGCUUUUUCAACAGGAAGAAAUGUGAAACAGAAUGAGUGUGGAGGGGGCGUCAUUGAUAAUGCAUCACCUCAGUGAUUUGUCAGGUGUUUCAACUAGCUAAUUUUGAGGUAAACAUAUCUCUCACACUUGCUGAGAGUAUGUUGUACAUCAGACAAGAUGGUGAAUUUUUAUCGGUUUGAAAUGAGAUGUUCUGUUGAAGAUCUUAUCCUUGAAUUGAUAAUCGGGUGCAACAAUUUUUUAUUUUUAUACUGCUGCUGGACGCGACGUCCCGUUGAACACUUAUCUAGGAUUCGGCUCCAUGUUGCGCUACAGCGUGCCAUGAAUGAACUUUGUUUGGCAGAUGGUGGAGAAAUAAUUUUGUGUCCAGUCUUGACUGAAGCUUCGUCGGCUCUGUUUGAGAAUAAAGACAAAUCAUUCUGAAGCGUCAAAUAAAUCCAAACGAGGUUGUAAAUGGUGAGCAGUGAUGCCAUUGUGUGCUGUAAAUGUCCAUUUCUUUCCUUUAUUCAUUGCCUUUUCUUUGGAUUCUGAAUAUGAUUAUUAAGCUGUAAGAAUACUGUAGUAUUAUACGUGAAGCAUUCUUAAUUGCUAGGCAUAGAAAUCGCUUGUGGUCAAUCUUUGCAAUGUUGUAUAAAACAAAAGCAAAAUGAUUUUUAAAAACGUGAAAAAUUAAGAAAAUGAAUGGGGGAAAUUAUCAGUCAGAGGCCAAGGUAAAGAACUCUCUUUGUUUGCUUGUUUUUUAAUUAGCAACUUAUCACUGUGUGAUAUUUUGUACAUCAUAUUAAGCUGUAAUCAAACUAUUUCCUGUAACUACAAGGGACUAGAGACCUGCUUUUUAUUAAUUUUGUUUUAUUAUAUAUUUUUGAACUGCAUUCUAGCUUGUAUCAAAGGACUUCUUUUGUUUACGGGUCCCCCUCCCCCUUGUUGUAUGUCAUUGAGGAAGAAAAAAAAAAAGAAAAUUUUUGUACAGUGAA